rnacentral:misc_RNA from 1 species
UGCAGACUGGCCUGGAGAAAAAAUUGUUUGGAAACCAUCCAGUGACUCUGCCCGGAACGGAACCUCGAGGUCCUCCACCUGCUUUUGCUUCUGAUCCAUUGAAGCAUAUUUCAACUGGUGGAAAAGAUUCUGAAGGAUUAGCUGCAAUUGCAACAGGUUCUUCCAAACCCGCAAGCCUGGACAUUGUGGAAAUAGAUGGCUCCACCUCAGCACCUUCAUCUAUGUCUAAUCACGAGACCAAUUUCAUGAAAAGCACAAGUCCUUCUGGUCCUGGAGCCACCACACGAAAGAACACAGUGCAAGUAGAAAGGCAAAACUCUGAAGUAUCAUACUUUGCUGAUGAUGAGGAUGGAAAGCGGAAAAAGUACACGAAGAGGGGUUCAUUUCGCCAUAAGUUUAUGAGAUCAUUGCUCCCUUUUUGGUCGAGUUCCUUGCCAACUCUACCAGUAACUGCACCACCACGAAAAGAUGCAUCAAAUGCUGAUGAAGUCACCGAAGGUCGUCAGCGCCAUCAUAAAUCUUCAAGAAUGGAUCCAAGAAAACUCCUCCUCAUUAUAGCAAUCAUGGCUUGCAUGGCAACCAUGGGUAUCCUGUAUUAUAGAAUUGCUCAGAGUGGUCUGGAUGAGGAGCUGCCUGAUAAUGAAUAGUGGUAAUUUUAUGGCCAUUAAGUCUUUGGUGGCCUGAGUUACGGCUAUACAUCAUUUGUCAACAGGACCGACAGAGUUGCUUAUUCUUCUGCUGCUUGUACGUGCUCAGUCUUUGUUGUCAUCAUGUCACUGUUUUGGGUGGAACACAAAAUUCUUGGUAACCUGUGAUUUAUAGAGAUACCUCCCCAGCUCCCAUGUACCUCAUUGAUAGCCUUCUCUCUCUCUCCUCCCAUUUCUUUUUCUUGUUUGGUUUUUUUAGUUACUUCUUUUUGGAAUUUAAAUAGAGUAACAUGCUGAAAUGAAAUAAUAUCACCUUGUCACAUUG